AUUGAACGCUGGCGGCAGGCCUAACACAUGCAAGUCGAGCGGAGCGGCGGACGGGAGAGUAAUGCCUAGGAAUCUGCCUGGGCGUGGGGGAUAACGUCCGGAAACGGGGGCUAAUACCGCAUACUAUCAGAUGAGCCUAGGUCGGCUUAGCUAGUUGGUGGGGUAAAGGCCUACCAAGGUGACGAUCAGUAAAUGGGCGGAGAGGAUGAUCAGUCACAAUGGAACUGAGACACGGUCCAGACUCCUACGGGAGGCAGCAGUGGGGAAUAUUGGACAAUGGGCGAAAGUCUGAUCCAGCCAUGCCGCGUGAGUGAAGAAGGUCUUCGGAUUGUAAAGCACUUUAAGUUGGGAAGCGUUACCAACAGAGUAAGCACCGGCUAACUUCGUGCCAGCAGCCGCGGUAAUAC
rnacentral:rRNA from 1 species